rnacentral:rRNA from 1 species
ACACAUGCAAGUCGAACGGCAGCACGGACUUCGGUCUGGUGGCGAGUGGCGAACGGGUGAGUAAUGCAUCGGAACGUGCCAUUGAGUGGGGGAUAACGUAGCGAAAGUUGCGCUAAUACCGCAUAUUCUGUGAGCAGGAAAGCAGGGGACCGCAAGGCCUUGCGCUCUUUGAGCGGCCGAUGUCAGAUUAGCUAGUUGGUGAGGUAAAGGCUUACCAAGGCGACGAUCUGUAGCGGGUCUGAGAGGAUGAUCCGCACACUGGAACUGAGACACGGUCCAGACUCCUACGGGAGGCAGCAGUGGGGAAUUUUGGACAAUGGGGGCAACCCUGAUCCAGCCAUGCCGCGUGAGUGAAGAAGGCCUUCGGGUUGUAAAGCUCUUUCGGCCGGGAAGAAAUCGCAUGGGCCAAUACCCUGUGUGGAUGACGGUACCGGAAUAAGAAGCACCGGCUAACUACGUGCCAGCAGCCGCGGUAAUACGUAGGGUGCGAGCGUUAAUCGGAAUUACUGGGCGUAAAGCGUGCGCAGGCGGUUUUGUAAGACAGGCGUGAAAUCCCCGGGCUUAACCUGGGAACUGCGUUUGUGACUGCAAGGCUAGAGUACGGCAGAGGGGGGUGGAAUUCCACGUGUAGCAGUGAAAUGCGUAGAGAUGUGGAGGAACACCAAUGGCGAAGGCAGCCCCCUGGGUCGAUACUGACGCUAAUGCACGAAAGCGUGGGUAGCAAACAGGAUUAGAUACCCUGGUAGUCCACGCCCUAAACUAUGUCAACUAGGUGUUGGGUGGGUAAAACCAUUUAGUACCGUAGCUAACGCGUGAGGUUGACCGCCUGGGGAGUACGGCCGCAAGGUUAAAACUCAAAGGAAUUGACGGGGACCCGCACAAGCGGUGGAUGAUGUGGAUUAAUUCGAUGCAACGCGAAAAACCUUACCUACCCUUGACAUGCCAGGAACUUGCCAGAGAUGGCUUGGUGCCCGAAAGGGAGCCUGGACACAGGUGCUGCAUGGCUGUCGUCAGCUCGUGUCGUGAGAUGUUGGGUUAAGUCCCGCAACGAGCGCAACCCUUGUCGUUAAUUGCCAUCAUUUAGUUGGGCACUUUAACGAGACUGCCGGUGACAAACCGGAGGAAGGUGGGGAUGACGUCAAGUCCUCAUGGCCCUUAUGGGUAGGGCUUCACACGUCAUACAAUGGUCGGUACAAAGGGUUGCCAAGCCGCGAGGCGGAGCCAAUCCCAGAAAGCCGAUCGUAGUCCGGAUUGCAGGCUGCAACUCGCCUGCAUGAAGUCGGAAUCGCUAGUAAUCGUGGAUCAGCAUGUCACGGUGAAUACGUUCCCGGGUCUUGUACACAC